UGGGGAAUAUUGCACAAUGGGGGAAACCCUGAUGCAGCGACGCCGCGUGAGCGAAGAAGGUUUUCGAAUCGUAAAGCUCUGUCCUAUGGGAAGAUAAUGACGGUACCAUAGGAGGAAGCCCCGGCGAACUACGUGCCAGCAGCCGCGGUAAUACGUAGGGGGCAAGCGUUGUCCGGAAUCACUGGGCGUAAAGGGUUCGCAGGCGGAAAUGCAAGUCAGUUGUGAAAGGCAGAGGCUCAACCUCUGUAAGCAAUUGAAACUGUAUUUCUUGAGAUGUGGAGAGGCAAGUGGAAUUCCUAGUGUAGCGGUGAAAUGCGUAGAUAUUAGGAAGAAUACCGGUGGCGAAGGCGACUUGCUGGACACAAACUGACGCUGAGGAACGAAAGCGUGGGUAGCAAACAGG
rnacentral:rRNA from 1 species